rnacentral:rRNA from 1 species
UGGGGAAUCUUGGACAAUGGGGGCAACCCUGAUCCAGCGACGCCGCGUGGGUGGUAAGGCCUUCGGGUUGUAAAGCUCUUUUACCCGGGAUGAUAAUGACAGUACCGGGAGAAUAAGCUCCGGCUAACUCCGUGCCAGCAGCCGCGGUAAUACGGAGGGAGCUAGCGUUGUUCGGAAUUACUGGGCGUAAAGCGCACGUAGGCGGCCAAUCAAGUCAGGGGUGAAAUCCCGGGGCUCAACCCCGGAACUGCCCUUGAAACUGGUAGGCUAGAAUACUGGAGAGGUGAGUGGAAUUCCGAGUGUAGAGGUGAAAUUCGUAGAUAUUCGGAAGAACACCAGUGGCGAAGGCGACUCACUGGACAGUUAUUGACGCUGAGGUGCGAAAGCGUGGGGAGCAAACAGGAUUAGAUACCCGUGUAGUCC